AUUGAACGCUGGCGGCAGGCCUAACACAUGCAAGUCGAACGAGUGGCGGACGGGUGAGUAAUGUCUGGGAAACUGCCUGAUGGAGGGGGAUAACUACUGGAAACGGUAGCUAAUACCGCAUACUAUCAGAUGUUCCCAGAUGGGAUUAGCUAGUAGGUGGGGUAAUGGCUCACCUGGGCGACGCUCCCUAGCUGGUCUGAGAGGAUGACCAGCCACACUGGAACUGAGAAACGGUCCAGACUCCUACGGGAGGCAGCAGUGGGGAAUAUUGGACAAUGGGCGCAAGCCUGAUGCAGCCAUGCCGCGUGUGUGAAGAAGGCCUUCGGGUUGUAAAGCACUUUCAGCGAGGAGGCGUUACUCGCAGAAGAAGCACCGGCUAACUCCGUGCCAGCAGCCGCGGUAAUAC
rnacentral:rRNA from 1 species